ensembl:lncRNA
UGACCCUUGGACUUAGCCCUCCAGGCUCCUCUGUCCAUAAGAUUCUCCAGGCAAGAAUACUGGAGUGGGCUGCCAUUUCCUCCUCCAGGGGAUCUUCCCGACUCAGGGAUUGAACCCACGUCUCCUGUGUCUCCUGCACUGACAGGCAGAUUCUUUACUGCUGAGUCAUCAGGAAAGCCCACAGCAAAGGUUUUUUGGCUUCAAGGCAUUUGGGAAUCUUAGCUCCCCAACCUGGGGUCAAACCCACAUCCCUGCACUGGAAGGCAAAGUCUUAACCGCUGGACCACCAGGGAAAUCCCCAUAUCAACCUUUCGAUUGGUCAUGUUUGGAUGUGAAAGUUGGACUGUGAAGAAGGC